CCCUCACGGCGGGGGGGAAAAACAUAUUCUCCUUUAUCAUUGGUGGAAAAACACAUGAGGUAAACCAAUCAAAACCACCAAUUCCAUGUGGAUCUAGCUGGGACCACA